rnacentral:rRNA from 1 species
UACGUAGGGUGCAGGCGUUAAUCGGAAUUACUGGGCGUAAAGCGUGCGCAGGCGGUUAUGCAAGACAGAUGUGAAAUCCCCGGGCUUAACCUGGGAACUGCAUUUGUGACUGCAUGGCUAGAGUGCGGCAGAGGGGGAUGGAAUUCCGCGUGUAGCAGUGAAAUGCGUAGAUAUGCGGAGGAACACCGAUGGCGAAGGCAAUCCCCUGGGCCUGCACUGACGCUCAUGCGCGAAAGCGUGGGGAGCAAACAGG